CCUACGGGUGGCAGCAGUGGGGAAUAUUGCGCAAUGGGCGAAAGCCUGAACCAGCCAAGUAGCGUGAAGGAUGACUGCCCUAUGGGUUGUAAACUUCUUUUAUAUGGGAAUAAAAUGUUCCACGUGUGGGAUUUUGUAUGUACCAUAUGAAUAAGGAUCGGCUAACUCCGUGCCAGCAGCCGCGGUAAUACGGAGGAUCCGAGCGUUAUCCGGAUUUAUUGGGUUUAAAGGGAGCGUAGGUGGAUUGUUAAGUCAGUUGUGAAAGUUUGCGGCUCAACCGUAAAAUUGCAGUUGAAACUGGCAGUCGUGAGUACAGUAGAGGUGGGCGGAAUUCGUGGUGUAGCGGUGAAAUGCUUAGAUAUCACGAAGAACUCCGAUUGCGAAGGCAGCUCACUGGACUGCAACUGACACUGAGGCUCGAAAGUGUGGGUAUCAAACAGGAUUAGAUACCCUGGUAGUC
rnacentral:rRNA from 1 species